rnacentral:rRNA from 1 species
AGAGUUUGAUCCUGGCUCAGAACGAACGCUGGCGGCGUGGAUAAGACAUGCAAGUCGAGCGCUGAUUACAGGGUAGCAAUAUUCUGUGGUCGGAGCGGCGCAAGGGUGCGUAACACGUGGGCAAUCUGCCGUGAAGUCGGGGACAACUUGCUGAAAGGCGAGCUAAUACCGGAUACGAAACUUGGGAGGCAUCUCCUGAUUUUCAAAGUUGGGGACCGUAAGGCCUGACGCUUCAUGAUGAGCCCGCGGCCUAUCAGCUAGUUGGUGAGGUAACGGCCCACCAAGGCUAAGACGGGUAGCUGGUCUGAGAGGACGACCAGCCACACUGGAACUGAGACACGGUCCAGACACCUACGGGUGGCAGCAGUCGAGAAUUUUUCACAAUGGGCGAAAGCCUGAUGGAGCGACGCCGCGUGGGGGAUGAAUGGCUUCGGCCCGUAAACCCCUGUCAUUUGCGAUCAAACCUCAUUAUUUAAAAGAUGAUGAGCUGAUAGUAGCGAAAGAGGAAGGACGGCUAACUCUGUGCCAGCAGCCGCGGUAAUACAGAGGUCCCAAGCGUUGUUCGGAUUCCACUGGGCGGUAAAGGUGCGUAGUGGCGAGGUUAAGUCGGAUUGUGAGAUGCCUUCGGAGUCUCAACUCCGAGUUGGCAUUGGGAAACUACCUUGCUUCGAGGGUUGGAGGAGGCGACCUUGGAAUUCUCUCGAGUGUAGCAGUGGAAUUGCGUAGAUAUUCCGAGAAGGCACACUCCAGCUGGCGAGGGCGAUAGCCUGGCACAGCUCUCUGACAGUUGAGCGCCAUGACAUGCUGAGGGGCAGCAACCGGCAUUAAAUCGCCUUUGGUAGUUCCUUAGCCGUUAAUCGGGUGCCAUGUUUGCUUGUAAAAGGUUAUUCGACCCCUUAGCCGUGGCGUCGCACAACGGUUAGACAUGCCGCCUGGUAGAAUGUCAUAGUCCGCAUGAUUAAAAUUCAAAGAAAUUGACGGGGGCCUGCCACAAGCGGUGGAGUAUGUGGCUCAAUUCGGUGCCAACCGCGGAGGACCCUUCCCUGCCCUUGACAUGUACGUAGUAGAAGGUUGAAACCCUGACGAGCUCCGCAAAGAGCAGCGUACACAGGUGCUGCAUGGCUGUCGUCAAGCUCGUGUCGUGAGAUGUUGGGUUAAGUCCCGCAACGGAGCGCAACCCCUGUGUCCUGUUGCCAAACAGAUGAAAGUCUGGAGCACUCUGGACAGACUGCCUCGCUUAAACGAGGAGGAAGGUGGGGAUGACGUCAAGUCAGUAUGGCCCUUACGGCCAGGGCUGCACACGUACUACAAUGCCCGGCACAAAGGGAAGCAAGAUCGUAAGAUGGAGCAAAUCCCCAAAAACCGGGCCCAGUUCAGAUUGUCGUCUGCAACUCGACGGCAUGAAGCUGGAAUCGCUAGUAAUGGCGCAUCAGCUACGGCGCCGUGAAUACGUUCCCAGGCCUUGUACACACCGCCCGUCACAUCAUGAAAGCCGUUUGUACCCGAAGUCGUCGUGUUAACCCGCAAGGGAGACAGAUGCCGAAGGUAUGGAUGGUGAUUGGGAUGAAGUCGUAACAAGGUAACC